GAAUAAGGUCCGGAGCUUAUGGGUUAUCAAAUCUCAUUGAACCCCUCCCAUAGGCAUUCACUCGACCUGACU
rfam:Pristionchus pacificus strain PS312 contig10216, whole genome shotgun sequence.